rfam:Erinaceus europaeus unplaced genomic scaffold scaffold01093, whole genome shotgun sequence
GUUCGCUUUGGCAGCACAUAUACUAAAAUUGGAACUGUACAAAGAAGAUUAGCAUGGCCCCUGGGCAAGGAUUCCAGAUUAAAAAAAAAAGUUUUAAAGUGUAAA